rnacentral:rRNA from 1 species
AUUGAACGCUAGCGGGAUGCUUUACACAUGCAAGUCGAACGAGUGGCGGACGGGUGAGUAAUGUAUCGGAACGUGCCCGAUAGCGGGGGAUAACUACUGGAAACAGUAGCUAAUACCGCAUACUAUCGGAGGGGCCCAGAUGGGAUUAGCUAGUUGGUGGGGUAAAGGCUCACCAAGGCAACGAUCCGUAGCUGGUCUGAGAGGACGACCAGCCACACUGGGACUGAGACACGGCCCAGACUCCUACGGGAGGCAGCAGUGGGGAAUUUUGGACAAUGGGGGCAACCCUGAUCCAGCCAUGCCGCGUGUAUGAGAAGGCCUUCGGGUUGUAAAGUACUUUUGGCAGAGAAGCGGUAUCUGCAGAAGAAGCAUCGGCUAACUACGUGCCAGCCGCCGCGGUAAUUC